ensembl:lncRNA novel transcript
ACGUUAUGUGGGUUUCCGCAAGACCUUCCGCCAUUGCCUGGGCUUUGAAAGCGCUUUAGGAACGAUACGGAAACGGAGGCUUAGAAGUGGAAACUUUACAGAUAUGGAAACUGAGACUUAGAAAAAUGACCCGUCAAAGAGGUGGGAUUUCACCAUGUUGCCGAGACUGGUCUCAAACUCCUGAGCUCAAGUGAUCCUCCUACCUCAGCCUUCCGAGUAGUGGUGACUACGGACACAGGCCAUACACUUCACUGGAUGGAAGACAUUCUCCAGUAGUUUUCUGAAAAAGAGCUCAGCUCAUCAUGAAGAAUGUCCAUGUGACUUUGGUUAAUAAAAUGUGAGGAAUCCAAAGUUCAAGAAAAGUUCAAAUAACCCACUCACAGUUGCACAGCUAGAGGGAGAGCUGGGAUAGAUCUAUAAAGCUGCAACUCCUGUGCACACAGAAAUAUGAAGCCACUUUCACCCUCUGGAAUCCUUCAGAGCCCUGAGUAGCCACAUGGAAAGCCAGGCUGUCCUGCUAGAAAGAUCACAUGGAGAGGCAUGAAACUACAUGGAGAGAGAAACCAGCCAAGCCAGCCUUGCAGCCAGAGCCAUUACCGUGAAGGUGCCAGGAAUGUGAAGAAAGUCAUCUUGGACCCUCCAGAUCAGACCAGUUGCAGCUGAAUUCUACUGAACAAUCCCAGGCAGCACCAGGUAGAACAAAAGAAUCACCUAUCUGAGAGCUGCCAAAUUCCUGACUCCCCAAAUAAUGAAAUAUAGCAAAAUGAUUGUUUUAAGCCACUAAAUUUGGUAGUCAUUUGUUAUGUGGCAGUAGCUAACCCUGAAGAAAGUAUCUGCACUUGAACUUCCCUUUGUACAGUACCCAGGCAACCCUACAGACUUGAAAUGACUUGGAACCCUGAACACUUUAUUAGACUGAGGUUUGGCAUAUCUUGGAACUUGUUGCCUGCUUACCAUUUCAGGUCUCCAGGUGUGUUUAUGGGAGAUAUUCAAAGGAAUGUACCAGACUCAAUAUUGAAAUUGAUUAGUCUCCUUCAACUGUAAUUUUUUCCCCUUGAUUAUUGUUUUAAAAUUUGGAACAAUAAGAUUGUACAGAGGAGAAAGAGAAAGGAUGGAGUAUGGGAAAGGGAGAAAAUAAAAAGAAAAAGAUGGAGGGGUCUCAGGUUGGUUAGCAUCUACUCAGAAAGGAAGAAAUAAAAUUAACCUCCAAAUGAAGAAA